rnacentral:lncRNA from 1 species
UCUCAUCUCACGUCUAUGUUCCUCUUCCCCAUCUCCCUCCACAAUCGCCGCCUCCCCCUCAUCAGUCUAUCACCACCACCACCAUAACCUCCCUAAUCAGUCACCAUUCAAUAUCGAAAUUCUCACACCAUCAUACUCACCAUUUAAUAUCGAAAUCCCCUGAUUCUAAAACCCUAAGUUUCUUCCCUUCUAAAUUCGAAAUAUAACCUUUUAUUUUGCCUUGAAUUUGAUGUUGUUUUGAUUUGAAAAUAUAGCCUUCUAAAAUAUUUUGUGAAUUUGUGUUGAAUAUAGCCUCAAAUUUCUAGAUCUCUGGUGAAUUUAUGAAGUUGAUGGUUGUAUGGUGCAGAUCUAUGGUGUUUUUUUGUUGUUGUUGGGUGGGUUUUUCUCUUCAAUUGUAUUUUGGCCUCUGAUUGUUUGGUGUGUUGAUGCUUCAUUGUCUCUCUUUCAGUUUACCUGUCCUUUUUUUUUAUUUUUUUUUAUUCUGUUGCAAUUUUUUCAACCUAGAUGAGCUUGGGGAAUUUGUUAUAGAGAUGGUGGAUGAGUUGGUGAACGAGCGUGAGUUGGUGAAUUGUUGAAGGAAGGUUUGAAUGAUGAAUUGAAAUUGAUGGCGAGGAUGAGGAGAGAGGAUAACUGAUACUGUGUGAGAGAGAGAUGGAGGUGGUUGGAAAUGAGUUGGUGUUGAUGAUUCUGGAUUGGAUUUUGUUAGAAUGUUUUUCAAUCUGUUUUUUUCUUUCUUUUUUUCAUUUAUGGGUUAAUUUGAUGAAUGUUUAUGAAUAUGGUGAAGAUGAGGAAAAAGAGAAAGGAAGAAGAUGAAUA